UACGUAGGCAGCGAGCGUUGUUCGGAGUUACUGGGCGUAAAGGGUGUGUAGGCGGUUGUUUAAGUUUGGGGUGAAAUCUCCCGGCUCAACUGGGAGGGUGCGCCGAAUACUGAAUGACUAGAGUGCGGGAGAGGAAAGUGGAAUUCCUGGUGUAGCGGUGAAAUGCGCAGAUAUCAGGAGGAACACCGAUGGCGAAGGCGGCAUCCUGGACCGGCAUUGACGCUGAGGAGCGAAAGCCAGGGGAGCAAACGGG
rnacentral:rRNA from 1 species